rnacentral:lncRNA from 10 species
AAUCAACACUCCACUCAGACAAUGCCCAGACCUCCAGAAACCAUGUGUCAAGCUCGGAUUGCCUUAGACAGGUGCAAUUUAAGAACAGCUUUCAUCCUCUUUUCUCUCAUAUUGUCACACUAUGUGUUCUGACUUCUGGCUCCUUUCCUCACAAGAAGCUCACCCAGCUGGAACUCUUAUGGGACCUUGGCACCAGAGACCACAAAUUCCUCUUUGAAGUUUUCUAACAGCAACAAUGGUAUUUCUGACUUGGCUUUCUUGUAUUUCUCUCACGUUAACAAAAUUGGUUCAGCAUCUACCAUGGGCUACAUGCUGAGCUACAGAGUUUCGCUCUGUCGCCCAGGCUGGAGUGCAGUGGCGCGCGAUCUCGGUUCACUGCAAGCUCCACCUCCCGGGUUCACGCCAUUCUCCUGCCUCAGCCUCCUGAGUAGCUGGGACUACAGGCGCCCGCCACCACACCCAGAUACAUGAAAAGAAAGAAGGAGAGAAGGAAGAAAGGAGGGCGGAAGGAAAGGAAGAAGGGAGAGAAGAAGAGAAGAAAGAAGCAGAGAAAGGAAGAGAAAAGAAAUUACGGCCAGUGCG